UUGCCCAUACCGUGCAAGGAUAAGUGGUGACUUUUCGAUGUUAUCUUAGGCGAGCCUCAAUAAUGACAUGUGCAUUGGGAUUUAUUUCCCCAGUGUGAUGUUGAGCCACUCGACAACGUGCAGAAAAAAGUCGGCGACAAGGUUCUCCGCAUUGACAUUGGUGGUCGCUGGACAACGUGUAGCACAAGGACAGGCAUAAUCACGACAGCCAGGAAGUUUCCAUCGUCAUCAUAAGUCCGCCCCAUGACGUUGCAGCUUCCGUGGGCUCCACGGUGUCCACUAUGCCUCGGAUUAUCAUUUCUAAUGGAACAGAAUGCAUCGCAGAGAAGCUGUUGCUAAGGGUGCUCAAAUGAACCCUCAGCCACACAAGGUUCCAAUUUUUCACUUGUUUCUUGCGCGAUGAGUAUUUAUGAUGAACACUAGCCUCCCAACAUUAUUUGAGUACUGGGGGCUUGCUGUACCUCGCUGCCUAUAUCCCAUCAUACCGGUCAGGCAUUCUAGGUCACUCUUAAGGUGCUGCCGCUGCUAAUCAUUGUAUGGACCUAGGUGAUGCUCUACUUCGUCAUUCUGUGAUGAGCGGAAGGUUAUUGGCUCAGCUUCAGUUCUUGCAUAUCAAGUGCCGAGUUACGGCAGGGACGCCCAUUAUUGCAUCGUACACGUGCAAACUUCUUUUUCCAUGGCCCGUGAUAGUCAAGCGGCAUUCAGGGCAAGUGUUAUGUUCAUGUUCUGAUAUUCUUGAGGGCUGUCCCUCCAUCUGGCCCUUCCUGCGUGAAUUCCGGGAAGUGUGGGAAUGUGGUGAGGCCCUUACCCACACUGCCCACACUGGAUAAUGGGCGAGGAAGGCCUAUCAGAAAUUAAAAUGUGUGGAUGUCGCCCGAGGCCUUUGUUUGGUAUAUGAUGUGCUUAUUUAUCGAACGAACUUCUAUACAACCACGAUGCAUUUAACACAUUAUUGAAUAUCAAAGUAACUUGAUAACUUUCUGGACAAAGUUAGCUUGUAAUUAUGUGAUAAGAAAUCUCACAUCUAUCGAAGAUGUAUUUUUGUGUCGAAUUUGACGCUGGUAUGAUAAAGUUCGUCUGUAGCAAGACAUGCAUUAUGGUUGCUGUAGGUCCUAAAUCUCUGGGAAUGUGCAGGCAACUACUCGAAAAAUGUCGGCUAGCGCAACUGUAUUAUGAGCAAGGGAACAGAGUUCUUUUAUCU
rnacentral:lncRNA from 1 species